rnacentral:snRNA from 1 species
GGAUGUGAGGGUGAUCUGGCCGUGACAUCUGUCAACCCCCCCCCCCCUGCCCCCCGUUGAUGACCAGGUUUGAUAUGGAUGAUGUCCCCUCCCUAAUCCACGUGAGACCAUGCAGAAGUUUCACACUCUGGCUGAGAGCUUGGCCUUCCUCACAGAGAUGGACCAGUCUUUGGUGAGAGGAUACUAGCAGCUACUCUUCCCUGCUAGACCCUGCAGAUAAGCUCCCGUGGUUCACCUGUAGGACAAUGCAGGGUAGUCAUAUUUCUAGGAAUUCAGACAGCGCAUGUGGUAAUCU